rnacentral:rRNA from 1 species
UACGGGGGGAGCAAGCGUUGUUCGGAUUUACUGGGCGUAAAGGGCGCGGUAGGCGGUCGUGACAAGUCACUUGUGAAAUCUCCGGGCUUAACUCGGAACGGUCAAGUGAUACUGUCGGACUAGAGUACAGAAGGGGGCAACUGGAAUUCUCGGUGUAGCGGUGAAAUGCGUAGAUAUCGAGAGGAACACCUGCGGCGAAGGCGGGUUGCUGGACUGACACUGACGCUGAAGCGCGAAAGCUAGGGGAGCGAACGGG